rnacentral:tRNA from 1 species
CGGGGUGUAGUUCAUCGGUAGAACGCUCGGUUCGGGACCGAGAGGCACCGGGUUCAAUUCCCGGCACCCCGA